AGCUCCAGUAGCGUAUAUUAAAGCUGUUGCAGUUAAAAAGCUCGUAGUUGGAUCUUGGGCUCAGGCCUGCGGUCCGCCGUGAGGCGUGUCACUGCAGCCGUCCUGGCCUUCCUCUCGGUUAUCGCCCGGUGCUCUUAACUGAGUGCCAGGAGAGGCCGGAACGUUUACUUUGAAAAAAUUGGAGUGUUCAAAGCAGGCCUCGCGCCUGAACAGCAGAGCAUGGAAUAAUGGAAUAGGACCUCGGUUCUAUUGCGUUGGUUUUCGGAACUCGAGGUAAUGAUUAAGAGGGACUGACGGGGGCAUUCGUAUUGCGGUGUGAGAGGUGAAAUUCUUGGAUCGCCGCAAGACGACCGACUGCGAAAGCAUUUGCCAAGAAUGUUUUCAUUAAUCAAGAACGAAA
rnacentral:rRNA from 1 species